rnacentral:rRNA from 1 species
AUUGAACGCUGGUGGCAGGCCUAACACAUGCAAGUCGAACGAGUGGCGGACGGGUGAGUAAUGUCUGGGAAACUGCCCGAUGGAGGGGGAUAACUACUGGAAACGGUAGCUAAUACCGCAUACCAUCGGAUGUGCCCAGAUGGGAUUAGCUAGUAGGUGGGGUAACGGCUCACCUAGGCGACGAUCCUUAGCUGGUCUGAGAGGAUGCCCAGCCACACGGGAACUGAGACACGGUCCAGACUCCUACGGGAGGCAGCAGUGGGGAAUAUUGCACAAUGGGCUCAAGCCUGCUGCAGCCAUGCCGCGUGUAUGAAGAAGGCCUUCGGGUUGUAAAGUACUUUCAGCGAGGAGGCGUUACUCGCAGAAGAAGCACCGGCUAACUCCGUGCCAGCCGCCGCGGUAAUAC